AUCAAAUUAAGCAACUUACAUCCUGAUCAGCGACCCAAUUCCUACACAGCAUUGUUGCAGUCUCACCGCUCCUGAACCGAGCAAGGGUGUGCUCCCCUUGUGCACUAAUUGAGCUUCCCAUAGCCUUGAGUCCUGCAUUACAACCUGAUCAGCGUACUUGAAAAUACUGUCAGGAAAUUUUUUCCCCAUGGAGACGGUCAUACAUAUAAAAAAACCCAAAAGAAAAAACUCUGCAAGAAAACUUACAUACACAAAGAGUACCCAAAAAACAGAAGCAAAGCCCCCACAGUAGAGCCACCAAGAGUCUACAACUCUCCUCACGGAAAAGCACUAAACUGUUUAAUUGUCAUCUCUGCAGUAGUCCAGCCACACCUCAGUGUACUGAAGCUGAAAUAUCCUGGUGUUGUUGCUAUAUCUUCUUGCCUCUGAAUUGUACCUGAAUUUCUUCUUGCUAUUACCAUUGUUAUUUCCACUUGUCUGCAAAAUUAAUUUGUGAGGAAUUUAGUUCUCUGUGACCUGGCGUCAAUUUCACAUGAGAUUAAUAAUUUUAAAAUUUAAGAUCAGAGAUCAACAACAAACCAAAUUCAAAGAAAUACCUUUUACAGAUUAUAUUAAACAGAUGGAGAGAAGACAACUGCACAAACGGCGUGGGGUAAAAAAAUCUCACAGGUAUAACAACGAACUCAUAAUUGCAAGACCGAUGUAUUUAAAAGACUUACGUGAGAGCAAGAACAAUGCAUAAAAAUUUGUGACCUAUCCAAUUCAGAUGGAGUAACUUCUUCCGGUGAUAG
rnacentral:lncRNA from 1 species